GCGGCAUACAGCUCAGUAACACGUGGCUAACCUGCCCUUGGGACGGAGACACCCCCGGGAAACUGGGGUUAAUUUCCGAUAGGUGAAAAAUUCUGGAAUGAAUUUUCGCUCAAAAGAGGUUUAUGUUAUGCUCAUAUUCGUCGCCCAGGGAUGGGGCCGCGACCGAUCAGGUUGCUGGUGAGGUAAUGGCUCACCAAGCCUUUUACCGGUACGGGCCGUGAGAGCGGGAGCCCGGAGAUGGGCACUGAGACAAGGGCCCAGGCCCUACGGGGCGCAGCAGUCGCGAAAACUUUGCAAUACACGAAAGUGUGACAAGGCUAUCCCGAGUGCCAUCCGCUGAGGAAGGCUUUUACCCAGUAUAAAUAGCUGGGAGAAUAAGGAGAGGGCAAGUCUGGUGUCAGCCGCCGCGGUAAUACCAGCUCUCCGAGUAGUGUGGAUGUUUAUUGGGCCUAAAGCAUCCGUAGCUUGCUAAGCACGUCCCCUGUUAAAUCCACCGAUUCAAUCGAUGGUUUGCGGGGGAUACUGUUUGGCUAGGGGACGGGAGAGGUCGACGGUAUUCCCGGGGUAGGGGUGAAAUCCUAUAAUCCCGGGAGGACCACCAGUGGCGAAGGCUGUCGACUAGAACGCGCCCGACGGUGAGGGAUGAAAGCUGGGGGAGCGAACCGGAUUAGAUACCCGGGUAGUCCCAGCUGUAAACGAUGCAGGCUAGGGUGUUUGGGCGGCCACGAGCCGCCCUAGUGCCGCAGGGAAGCUGUUAAGCCUGCCGCCUGGGGAGUACGGCCGCAAGGCUGAAACUUAAAGGAAUUGGCGGGGGAGCACCACAAGGGGUGAAGCUUGCGGUUU
rnacentral:rRNA from 1 species